rnacentral:rRNA from 1 species
GAUGAACGCUGGCGGCGUGCCUAAUACAUGCAAGUAGAACGCUGAAGGAAGGAGCUUGCUCUUUCCGGACGAGUUGCGAACGGGUGAGUAACGCGUAGGUAACCUGCCUGGUAGCGGGGGAUAACUAUUGGAAACGAUAGCUAAUACCGCAUAACAGUAGAUGUUGCAUGAUAUCUACUUAAAAGGUGCAAUUGCACCACUACCAGAUGGACCUGCGCUGUAUUAGCUAGUUGGUGAGGUAACGGCUCACCAAGGCGACGAUACAUAGCCGACCUGAGAGGGUGAUCGGCCACACUGGGACUGAGACACGGCCCAGACUCCUACGGGAGGCAGCAGUAGGGAAUCUUCGGCAAUGGACGGAAGUCUGACCGAGCAACGCCGCGUGAGUGAAGAAGGUUUUCGGAUCGUAAAGCUCUGUUGUAAGAGAAGAACGAGUGUGAGAGUGGAAAGUUCACACUGUGACGGUAUCUUACCAGAAAGGGACGGCUAACUACGUG